UACGUAGGGAGCAAGCGUUGUCCGGAAUCAUUGGGCGUAAAGCGCGCGUAGGUGGCUUCGUAAGUCCGUUGUGAAAGUCAAAGGCUCAACCUUUGAAAAGCCGAUGGAUACUGCGGAGCUAGAGUACGGGAAGAGGCGAAGUGGAAUUCCUGGUGUAAGCGGGUGGGAAUGCGCAGAUAUCAGGAGGGAAACACCAAUAGCGAAGGCAGCUCCGCUGGGACGUUACUGACACUGAGGCGCGAAAGCGUGGGGAGCGAACAGG
rnacentral:rRNA from 1 species